rnacentral:miRNA from 1 species
UUAUCUAUUGUUUUUUG